CAAUAGCGUAUAUUAAAGCUGUUGCGGUUAAAAAGCUCGUAGUUGGAUUUCUGUCAAGGACAACUGGUCCGCCCCUCGGGUGAGCACAUAGUUUGGUCUUGGCAUCUUGUUGGAAACUGUUGCUGCACUUGGUUGUGUGGCGCAGUGUCCAGCACUUUCACUUUGAGGAAAUUGGAGUGUUUCAAGCAGGCACAUGCCUUUGGACACAGUAGCAUGGAAUAAUUAGAUUGGGCUUUUGCUCCAACUUGUCGGUUUCUGGAGCUGAGGUGAGAAUUGAUGGGGAUUGUUGGGGGCAUCCGAAUUUAGCCGUCAGAGGUGAAAUUCUUGGAUCUGCUAAAGACGGACAACUGCGAAAGCGUUUGCCCAGGAUGUUUUCAUUGA
rnacentral:rRNA from 1 species